rnacentral:pre_miRNA from 1 species
UCAAUACUCCCUCCGUCCGGAAUUACUUGUCGUAGGAGUGGAUGUAUCUAGACGUAUCUUAGUUCUAGAUACAUCCAUUUCUAUCCAUUUUUGCGACAAGUAAUUUCGGACGAAGGGAGUAUAUA